rnacentral:rRNA from 1 species
CCUACGGGAGACAGCAGUGAGGAAUAUUGGUCAAUGGACGAGAGUCUGAACCAGCCAAGUAGCGUGAAGGAUGACUGCCCUAUGGGUUGUAAACUUCUUUUAUAUGGGAAUAAAACGUUCCACGUGUGGGAUUUUGUAUGUACCAUAUGAAUAAGGAUCGGCUAACUCCGUGCCAGCAGCCGCGGUAAUACGGAGGAUCCGAGCGUUAUCCGGAUUUAUUGGGUUUAAAGGGGGCGUAGGUGGAUUGUUAAGUCAGUUGUGAAAGUUUGCGGCUCAACCGUAAAAUUGCAGUUGAAACUGGCAGUCUUGAGUACAGUAGAGGUGGGCGGAAUUCGUGGUGUAGCGGUGAAAUGCUUAGAUAUCACGAAGAACUCCGAUUGCGAAGGCAGUUCACUGGACUGCAACUGACACUGAGGCUCGAAAGUGUGGGUAUCAAACAGGAUUAGAUACCCCUGUAGUC